rnacentral:rRNA from 1 species
GGGAGCAGAGUGACAGGUGGUGCAUGGUUGUCGUCAGCUCGUGUCGUGAGAUGUUGGGUUAAGUCCCGCAACGAGCGCAACCCUUGAUCUUAGUUGCCAUCAUUAAGUUGGGCACUCUAAGGUGACUGCCGGUGACAAACCGGAGGAAGGUGGGGAUGACGUCAAAUCAUCAUGCCCCUUAUGACCUGGGCUACACACGUGCUACAAUGGACGGUACAAAGAGCUGCAAGACCGCGAGGUGGAGCUAAUCUCAUAAAACCGUUCUCAGUUCGGAUUGUAGGCUGCAACUCGCCUACAUGAAGCUGGAAUCGCUAGUAAUCGCGGAUCAGCAUGCCGCGGUGAAUACGUUCCCGGGCCUUGUACACACCGCCC